UGUCACUCCCACUCGCCGUAGUUGUAGGGAGGUCAGUAAGGGUGGACUGAGGGGAGGAAAAGGGUGUCUUGGAAGAGAGGUGUCAGACGCCAAUUUUGCACAAAAUGUAUAUUAGCUAACCGAGAAUUCUAGUUCGGCGCUGGCUAAUGACACCUCUUUGAUGCUGCCUGAGGUGUUAAAGGGACACUCCAGGCACCCAGACCACUUCUGCCCAUUGGAGUGGUCUGGGUGCCAACUCCCACUACUCUUAACCCUGCAAGUGUAAUUAUUGCAGUUUUUUAUAAACUGCAAUAAUUAUCUGGCAGGGUUAACUCCACCUCUAGUGGCUGUCUACUAGACAGCCACUAGAGGGCACUUCCUGGUUCCUAGCACAGGAAACCUGUGCUAGAGCGUCGCUGGACGUCCUCACGCUGUUUGAGGACCUCCAGCGUCGCUCAUUUCUCCAUAGGAAAGCGUAAAAUAUUUAAAUACGCACUAG